CGCCGCCUGCCUCGCAAGCUCAAGGUCCUGAGUUCGAUCCCCGGUACCAAAAAAAAAACAAAACAAAAGGCUGAGACUACUGUCGGGGCCCGGGCUGCAGGGGGCUCUCGCGCCCACGCUGGUGCCCAUCCGACCCCCACACACCCCUCUCAUCGCUUCGUCAAGUCGAGAAGAGGGGAGUCCGGGAGCGGCGCGGAGCAUGCCUCGGUGGUGUCUUCUCCUCCAGAGGGCAGGGUGGGCUGCCCUCGUCCCCCCAUUGGGGGUCCCUAGGCGGGGCAGAGGGACCGAGCUGGGGCAUCGCGAGCCCUGGACCGCUGGGUGCGGAGCGUCCCGAGCCCGCUCGGAGCCGCGAGCAGGAGGAGCUGUGCGCCCCAAGAUCUCACCCUAGGAGGAGAGGGGCUUGGCUGCGGGAACCGGCCGGGACAGCCCCACCACCACCACCACUUUCUGCAUCCCCGCACUCGUAUGGGCCUUUCCAAUUUGACCUGAAAAGCCGGUGUCGCUAAGACUGAAGAGGGGAAACUGAGGCACGGGGACAGAAAACUUUAUGCCUGAGUUCGAGGCUCUGACGCUUGCCUGGGGGUCUCCCUUUGUAGUUCAGGCUGAACUUGCACUUGCUUUGUAGCCUAGGCUGGCUUCAAACUCAUAGUGAUCCUCCUGCCUCAGCCUCCCGAGUGCUGGGAUUACAGAAAACAUCUUGAAGGGCGUCAUUGUCCCCACGACAACGCCGCCCGCCGUGUCUGGAAAUGAGUCAGGCGUUGUGCAGACAUGACACCUACUACAACAAUCUCUCCCACUUCCUCCCAGACCUCGGCGUUGGAAUGUGGGAGUGGUGACAAAGCUGGCUGCCACCCAGGCUCUGAGGAAAGGGGGCCAGUCUUGGUUCUGCAGUUCUGCCAGGCAACUCCCACCAGAUUGUGCCAAUACCAGGCACUCUUGUGAAUUAAAAAAGCAAAAUUACAUCCGAUUUCCCCGUUGAACAGUAAUACAAUUUUAGAAAGACCUUUUUCUUAAUUCUAAUUGGUAUUUAAUUAUUGAGGGAUUCUCUUUGCCCUUGUGUGUAAAAUGAAGAUAAACUUACCACCACUAUGAGAACCUAGAGGCUGGCUGGAGUGUUAGCCUGAGAUUUUCACGUUCCUCGCACCUCGACAGUUUUCUCAUAUGAAUCCAGACUUCUAAGAAUCUGUUUUCAUGGUAGUUUUUUUCCUUUGUUUGUUUUGUUUGCAUUACUAGGGAUUGAAGCCAGGGCCUUUGCACUGAGCUAUAUCCCUAGCCCCUUUUAAAAAUUUUUUUGAGGUAGGAUCUCACUAAGUUGUUCAGAUGGGACUGGAACUUGCAAUUCUCCUGCCUCAGCCUCCCGCUGUACUGGGAUUACAGAUAUACCCCACCAUGCUUCAUUCCAUUGUGGUCAUUUUGGAAUAGCAGAUAGGAAGAAGGGGAUGGAGAGGAGGAAGAAAUGGGCAGGUGGAAGGGGAGGAAAGCACUAGAAUGCUCUGAGGUGGAGUUACCUGACUUGUGAGCUGGUACGAUAUGCACACUGGAACUUGUAUCUUUCCGCUAGCUGUGUGAACCCUUCCUGAAUAGCCACUAAAAAGAAGAUUUUUUCAUCCAAGAGAGGAACUAUGUUUCUGAAAGCACUUGGCUCCCUAGAGGAGUGUUCAAGUUAUGUUUGUUUGGGGGGGUUUUGUUUUAUUUCUUUUUCUUGAGACAAGGUUUCACUAUGCAGUCCAGGCUGGGCUUGAACUCACUAUGUAGCCCAGGCUGGCCUCCUGGUGAUCCUCCUGCCUCAGCAUCCCAAGUGCUGGGAUUACAGGCGUGUGCCACCCCACCUGGCUCUCAAGUUAUGUUUCUAAGUAAUAAACCACCCUAAAAUGUAGUGGCCUGAGGAACACUUUUGUUGCCUGCUAGUGUGUGUCCUUGCUGUUAGUGAAAAUGGAAAUUAAGACUAAAACACGAAUUUACAGAGAAAAGCUUUAUUUGGAAAGGAAAAGAGAAGAUAAGAAGACUCCUGAUGAAGUAGCUGCAGGAGCCAAACUCUGACACUGGCUCGCCCACAAAAGAAGGAAGAGCACUGGCUGAGCUGGAGCCCGGCUGAUCAUUACCUCGGGCAGUUUGGUAGCUCCAGAGGAAUCCACAUGGCUUCCAGGGCAAUUCCAUUCCCAUGAAGUGAUCAUCCCUCUGUGGUGGUUUCACUCAUAGGAGGCUCUGUUUUUCCUGGGACUCAGGUGACUGCCCAGCAGGGCCAUGGCAGGAGACUCAGGCCACUCCACGAGUGAGGGUCUGGAGCUGGAGGUUAUACAGGCUGGUCACCACGUGCCCUUCCGAAUCCUGAAAAUUACGCUAGUCACUCUUGGUGUCCUCCAUCUCGGAGAGGGGUGAGGUAGGCUAGGUAACUUUAAGGCUAAUUAGCUUUACAGUUAAGUCCCCAAUUUAAGAAAAAGAACAUUCGUUCGUAAGUCAGAUUCGUUCUGAGUCCCACAAAGUGAGUCUUACACACCUUUGACACAAAUAUACAAUGUAACAGUGAUAAAGCAAUAAUAAACGAUAGGGCAAGCCUUUGCACUUGCCACUCCCCAUGUUUUUUGGUACCAGGGACCGAACUCAGGACCUUGCCCUUGAGAGGCAAGCGCCGGAACCACUGAGCUAAAUCCCCAGCCUUCCCAUGGAUUUUUUUUCCUCUCCAUUUCGCUGCCUGCUGUGCAAGCGCAAGGACCCAAGUUCGAUCUCCGGUACCAAAAAAAAACCCCACAGCUGAGAAAGGUGGUGUGCACCUGUAAUCCCAGCACUUGGGAGGCUGAGACCUGAGGAUUCCUUCAAGUUCAAGGCCAGCCUUGGCUACAAAGUGAGUUCAAGGUCACCCUGAACUACAAAGUGAAACCUUGGCUUAAAAAACAAAACACAACUUAAUUAAUUAAAAAAAUAAAAAUGAAAAACAGAAAUAAAAGAAAACAAACAAAAACCAACACACAAAAAUACAGUAAGUCCCCGAUGCUAUUGUACUACUGUGCACUACUGCAUUGUGCAGUAAGCACACAGCAGCACAACUGUGACAAUGUCUGGCAAAUAUGCAAGCUACUUCUGUGAUUUGUUCACAUUCUACAAAUGUUCGUAACGCAAGGUCCACUGGUAUCUGUGAAAGUUCCUAUGGUAGGGACUUACUAUCUUUUAAAUUUGGGCAUGGUCGGGCUGGGGAUUUAGCUCAGUGGUUCCGGUGCCUGACUCGCAAGCACAAGGUCCCGAGUUCGAUCUCUGGUACCAAUAAAUAAAUAAAUAAAUAAAUAAAUUUGGGCAUGUUGGCACACAUCUGUGAUUCCACCAUUCUGGGAGGCUGAGGCAGGAGAUUACAAGUUUGAGCCAGCCUGGGCAACAUAGUGAUUUAGUCAGACCCUAUCUCAAAAUAAAAACAUAAGAGGCCUGGGGAUGUAGCUCAGUAUGAAGGUCCUGGGUUCAAUUCCUAGUACUGAAGGAAAUAAAAUAAAAUACUUUGUUCUGCUGAUGUUUCUUAAAUGAGUAAC
ensembl:lncRNA